GUGCUCAUUUCAGCAUCACAUAAACUAAAAUGUGAAUGAUAGAGAAAAGAUUAGCAUGGAACCCUUAUAAGGAUGACACACAAAUGCAAGAAGUAUCCCAUACUUAA